GCGUGAGGCCCAGAGGUCAUUCAUAUGCCCACUGCCCCCAAGAUGUGGAGCGUCCAGCACUGAGGCACAGACAGGGGAGGCCCUGCCCGAAGGGACCCGGGCAGGAGGGAGGCCUGGGCUUCAGUCCUGCACAGGCUGGCCCUCUGCCCCCUACCUGCACCGCGUCCCUCAGCCUCCCACCCAGACCUUCCUAAAUGCAGCAGGAGCCCUCUUGGUCCCAGAGAAGAACAAAGCACCCAAGCAUGCUGUGCCCAGGAGGAAGGAACCACAAGAACCACAGAGGAGGAGAUCCGGACCCUACCCCCAGCCCCACACCCGGAGUCCCAGGAGGAGCUAAGGCCUGGGUGCCGCUAGGGCUCCACACUGACAGCCGGAGCCCAGUCCGUGGGCAGGUGCAGGAGGCCCUGGGAGGACAGAGCCCUGAAAGGGAUGGUCUCUCAGGUGAAGAUCGUGGGUCCUGUUUUGCUGCAUCAAACUCCGCUUCAUUUCCCAAGUUUCCUACGAUGAGCAGGGGUUACUUUGGUUAUUUCUAGCUUAUGUAAUUACCAAAUAAUUUUAAGUACAAAACUUAUAUGGGACCACAUUCUCUUAAUAAAAAAAAAUUUCAACGCUACA